rnacentral:piRNA from 1 species
UAGGGUACAAUAUUCAUUCUUAGGCACUCC